UUUACUUCAAGAGAUAUUUAUAUUCCAUUGAGAUGAAGGAAAUCAAAGAUAAUAUUAAACUUUUAGAUAUAACCUACCAGUGUAAGGGUUUUUCUAAAGUAAACAGCAUUUUAAAUCUCCAUGGUAACCUGUGACGAUGUAAAAACUUUAAAUCAUUACAAGCCAGAGAGAGCGGUCAUUUCUGAGGAUCAAAUCUGAAGAGAACAGCACGGAAAACUUAAGUGGCUCACGAACUUACAACUUUUGACGGCUUCAUCAUAAAUAAAACCUCACCAGACGACUAAGGACUCCGGCAAACACCUUCGAGAAACACCUGAACAAAGAGGACAACAUCUACGACAUGGAGACCGUAAGAUUUCAUGAUAAUAUUAUCAUACAAACUUGUGUUACUGUCGAGACUUUCGUGAUGCAUCGACAAGAAUUAAAUGUGUGCAUGGAUAUUUACAGUGUUUAUGACUUUAAUGUGACAGGCAUUAUCAAAAUUAACCGAAAAUAAGUGAACAUAGGCGUUUUUUUUGUGUGUGUUACUGUCGAGACGUUCGAAUGGUUAGCUUAAAAGUGAUGCAUUGACAUCACAUGAAAGUCCUGCCCACCAUGUCAAAGACUCUUUGUGCUUAAGAGCAGAAAAGCUCAUGUUAUUGUGCGAAAUCUCUCUAAGAGAUUUUUUAUGUCUUCUGGGCUAUUUAAAGCCGUCAGUCUGAAACUUAUUUGACAGUUUCUCCUUAUACUAACCAAUGCUAUCAGGUGAAAACUAUAAACACAAGCAAUUUUCACACGUAUUACAGCGAAAGAGGCACAUUAAAGGAGUGAAAUGUGGUGUUAAAAUAAGGGACACCUUCAUAACUUUAAAGAAUGACAGUCAUCAUAAAAUUCGACAAAAUAAACUAAAAAGACAUAAUAGUUAGACCUAUUUAUAAAUGCUCUAAUAGGCCUAGGUAACCAAAAAAAUCCUAUGAAUUACAUUUGAACCUAUUUAAAAAGUUACAAAACAGACAAAAUUAAGUUAAAAGUAAUGUCUUAUGUACAGCCUUUAAAAUGAAGAGUUCGAUAAUGUUCCACUGAAAUAUGUUUUCAUGUUUUCAUGGAUCAAGUGUGUGUGUUUUUCUACCACAAUAUUUAAAAUUUCAAUUAUGGGAAAAAUUCACUAAGUGUUAUCGAACCACUGUACUUUUGUGGAAGUCAGUUUUUUAUCAAACUGAAAACAGAGGAUUUUCUUAUUUAAUCCUGAAAAAGUCUUUUUCCCAAUAAAAUAAAAUGACUGAAAUAGACAUACCAAAAAUAUAAAUUCUUAAUAGUGGGUGUUGCAUUGAUGUUAAUCUAUUUCUAUUGCACAAUUAACCUGCUGAUUAGAGACUAAAUUCAAAUUAAAAUGUAUUGACUGUCUCUUCUUGAUGAUACUGAUGUUACAGAUGCUUCCUUCAUGACCUUGACCACACAGUCAAAUGUUUCAGCUUGUUUAAUUUAAAUGUCUGUGUUGUUUCUGUCUUCAGACCAGCCGACGCUUCACACGGACUUGGUCCUUGUGCACAGCUUCCACUGGUCCUGUCCCAAGCCGAUCUUGAAGAGGGUCGUGGCAACACCCAUGUCCCGUUCCAAGCCAAGCUGUGUAAGUAGGAAACCACACUGACAACAUAGAUUGGCCAUUAGCAUGCCCUCAAAACAACGUACAAAACUUUUAUAGUCUGAAUGAUUUUAAUUACAGAAAUAUGUUUAUGAAUUUGUCUUUUUUAAUUUUAAUUUUCUUUAACAUUAAUUUAUUUCAAAGAUGUGAAACCUUCCCCUGGAAAAAUAAUUUCUGCAGACUUCAGAUUUUAUAAUUUGUUGGUUUUUCUGUCUCAGGUCCGAGUGUAGCAGUACAGCCUCGUCCAGAACCAGGAUAAGUCCACUCCUCGGCUGUUACUGAGGAAGGUCCCACCGAUGUUCGGCCCUCCACGUUUCUCCUCCCCCAAGCUCAACCAGGUAAGUCACUCUCACUCCUCUUCUGUCUCUCCCUCUUUCUU
rnacentral:lncRNA from 1 species